AUGUUCCGGAAUUUAUAAAAAUGUUCUAAAUUUUAAAAAAUGUUCCUAAAUUUGAAACAAAUAUUCUGAUCUUUUUACUGAAAUAUUUCAUAUUUUUCAACUGCUGUUCGCUAACUUUUUUUUUAUGGUCUCCACAUUCGCUACUGGUGGCUAACUUGGGCCGGCCCAGUCGGGGCAACCCCCUGUGCGUCUGCUCGGCAGUUGCCACAACUAGCGGCGAAUAGGAGGUCCCUGAGAUUAUGCGAUUUGACGGGAGGUCCAGCAGCACGCCAACGCACAGAGGGAUCACGACUGGGCCGUUCCACUAACCGAAAAGAGAGGAUAUAUCCAAAACAUUUAUAUAAAAAUUCCAGAGUAUUUUUUCAAAUUUCGGAACAUUUUCUUGAAAA
rnacentral:lncRNA from 1 species